AACGAACGCUGGCGGCAUGCCUAACACAUGCAAGUCGAACGAGACCUUCGGGUCUUGUGGCGCACGGGUGCGUAACGCGUGGGAACCUGCCCUUAGGUUCGGAAUAACUCCCCGAAAGGGGUGCUAAUACCGGAUAAUGUCUUCGGACCAAAGAUUUAUCGCCUUUGGAUGGGCCCGCGUUGGAUUAGCUAGUUGGUAGGGUAAAAGCCUACCAAGGCGACGAUCCAUAGCUGGUCUGAGAGGAUGAUCAGCCACACUGGGACUGAGACACGGCCCAGAAUCCUACGGGAGGCAGCAGUGGGGAAUAGUGGACAAUGGGCGAAAGCCUGAUCCAGCAAUGCCGCGUGAGUGAUGAAGGCCGUAGGGUUGUAAAGCUCUUUUACCCGGGAUGAUAAUGACAGUACCGGGAGAAUAAGCUCCGGCUAACUCCGUG
rnacentral:rRNA from 1 species